rnacentral:rRNA from 1 species
UCUAGUGAUGAUGCGUUUAAAGGGUAACACCCGUUCCCAUUCCGAACACGACGGUUAAGCCUUUAACGGUCGAUGGUACUGCACGGGAGACUGUGUGGGAGAGUAGAUGGUCGCUAGGU